rnacentral:rRNA from 1 species
GACGAACGCUGGCGGCGUGCUUAACACAUGCAAGUCGAGCGGUAAGGCCCUUUCGGGGGUACGACGAGCGGCGAACGGGUGAGUAACACGUGGGUGACCUGCCCUCAGCUCUGGGAUAAGCCUGGGAAACUGGGUCUAAUACUGGAUAUGACUCCACGGUGCAUGUCGUGGGGUGGAAAGCCUUGUGCGGCUGAGGAUGGGCCCGCGGCCUAUCAGCUUGUUGGUGGGGUGAGGCCUACCAAGGCGACGACGGGUAGCCGGCCUGAGAGGGCGACCGGCCACACUGGGACUGAGACACGGCCCAGACUCCUACGGGAGGCAGCAGUGGGGAAUCUUGCGCAAUGGGCGAAAGCCUGACGCAGCGACGCCGCGUGAGGGAUGACGGCCUCGGUGUAAC